rnacentral:lncRNA from 1 species
UUUCCUUUCCUUGCACGUAUGCUUCACUUCGUGAUAUCUUCAAUCUCUACUUUGCUCUAUUUACUUACUGCUUUAUAGUGUUAUACAUUCGAUGGCAUAGAAUUUUGGGAUUUUAUAUAUGCGUGUUGAGUGUUGUAUUACUUUAAAGUUUAUAAUUGUGAUCUACAAAACUCGGUUGUGCUGCUGAGAUAUUUGAUAUUCUGCUUUAGUGUUUUAUUUUGUUUCAUCUCAUUUUAAUUUUGUUUUGACUAUUUUUGUGUUUUA